GAUCAAAAAUAGAUUAAGUCACUUACUUCUUUUACCCCAAGUUCCUGUGAAUGCAUCGAUAUCGAUGAUAAAAUAUAACAAUAAACAGCCAACGAUUCUCCGAUUAAUGUGACACAUUUUUGAAUUCAAAAUUCUGUUUUCACAAAACAAAACAAAAAAAAAACAAACCCAAAUGCCACGUUGUCGUCAUACGAAUGUUCGAGGUCACACUCAUUAACAAUUUUUUUCAUUUUCAGCAAUGACCAUUUAUCAUUCGUUUGACAGGUGACCCAUAGUGAUAGUAAUCUUUCAAAUGGAAACCCCUAAAAAUGCUCUUGACGAGACCAAAUUUUAUUAGUCGAUGACAAUUGGUUCGAAUUUUUUAUUUCAUUGAAACCUGUGCAUCCAUCUAGUGUUCAGAAAAAUACAGAAUUGACUAUCGAUAUAUAUCGAUAGUAAAAACCGGCUAGUCGUGUCUCACUUGUGUGUGUGUGUACACGUAUAAAGUGAAACGUUUUUUGGCAUUUUAUAAAAAUUGCGUGUGCACGCAGCUCAUCAUCAUCAUCAUCAUUUUUGUGCAUGCGAUUUUACGAGUAACCAGAAAUUGGUUGCCCAUUUCUGCUCACCAUCAUCAACGGGGUAUUAUAUCGUUAAAUGAGAAAAAAAAAUUCUUUUGAUGUCGUCAUAAAGUUUUUUUUUGUCAUUUUCAAGCAUUGUAAACCACAAAUACUGCUGCUUGAAAUCUUUGUUGUACAUGUGCAUUUGAGAUUCUUGUCAUAUACAUAUGUAUCGUGUGUGUGUGUGGGCAUUGUGAAUCUGACUAUAAAAUGUAUUAGACGUCGUACAUGCUUGUUUGUGUUCAAUAUAUUGAAACAAAAAUGAAGAAAAACGGGAACACGAUGUGAACACCCGAUUAUAUAGAGAAUUUCAUCUUUCAUCCCUGUCGAAUUUAUUAUUAUCAUCAUCAUUAUUAUUAUAACCAUAACCAUUGCAUUGAACAAAUUUGUUUCGGGUUAGGAAAAAAACACUGCAAAACCUAUUUCAUGGUGUGUGUGAGUGAAUUUUUUUUUUUUUUUGUUUUAGUGAAGCAAUUUCCAUUGCAUCGUAGUAUUAUUAUUAUCAAUUCAUCAUCAUAAAUUAAUUUAAUAAUAAUCAUCAUUUAAAGAUUUUGUUUUGUUUUCCAAAUAAAAAAAAAAUCCAGAUCAUUGUUAAUGGGAAAAUACCGGCCUCAAUUGAACAAUUUUAACAAAUUCGAAACGUGUAUUGUUAUUGCAUCUACUUAUCAUAUACAUUAGAUUAAAAAAUCAAAUUUCGAUUAAAACAUCAUUGAAAAAAAGGAUGGUCAUUGUUUUUGUAAAAGAAUGUAUAUUUAUUAUUAUGGUUCCACCAAUUAUUAUUCACAGUAUUGAAUAGCCAAUAUAUUGGAUUGAUUGGCCUAAAUUUUUUUUUUUUUGUUUUUUUUUUUGCUCUAUAGUCCAUCCAAAUAUCUUCUAAUUAUGAUGACAAUGGAAUUUAAAUCAUCACUACUAUUUACUACAGAUCAAUUUUUGUUUUGUGUGUAGUUUUUCCCAUUACAUAAAAUCAAUAGAUUUGUAUUAGCCCAUAAUAAUAAUAUAAUUAAUAGCCAAACGUAAUAUAUGCACACAAAAAAAAAAUCAACAGCAACAUUUCAAUUUCUUCUGUUUAUUAUCACAUAUGCACACUCAUCAUACAUACAAACUGACUAAAUUCAAGUUGUUUGUUUGUGUGUGUGUGUGUGUGUUAUUUCCAUUUUUUUCAAUUUGCAAUUUUCUCUUAUAUACCAGAUAGUAAUAGUUUUGAACAAUUGAACGAAAAUUGAUAUUCAUCAUCAUAAAAUAGUUGCUGUAAAUGUCUUCAAUUACUAAUGAUAAGGUUAUGAAUAUGGCAGCAGUCUCAUCAUCAUCAACAACAGCAGCAACAAAAAAAACUUCAUCGAAAUCUGUUCAUAAUCAACAACAACAACAG